CCCGCGCAACGCGCCUAGGGACCGGCUGCGCCCGGGGUGUCCGGCGGGCGUGAGGCCGCUGAGGGUGGUGGCUGUGGAGAGAAGUGGGGCUGCUCCUGAGGACCGCCUGCAGGCGUCUGCAUUAAACAAUAAGCCGCCGUCAUCUAUUUCAGGAGCCUACGAAGUCUAACAUCAAAGUGCUGGCAGAUUUGGUGUCUGACUUCGCCUCCUAGAAGAUGAGGAACCACUUGGAGAGAAGCCCCAAGUGUCCCAGUCAUCUCAGCCUUCCUGCUUGAGGCCCCAAACAUAUGUGUGAGGCCAUCCUAGACCAUCCAGCUCCAACUAAGAUGGUUCAGACCAGAAGAAUCAGCUAGUCACCCCACAGAAUCACAGGAUAUAAUAAAUAUUUCCUUUUAAACUUUCA